rnacentral:rRNA from 1 species
UACGUAGGGGGCUAGCGUUGUCCGGAAUCAUUGGGCGUAAAGCGCGUGUAGGCGGUCCGGUAAGUCCGCUGUGAAAUCUCGAGGCUCAACUUCGAGCUGUCGGUGGAAACUGUCUGGCUAGAGUCCGGAAGAGGAGAAUGGAAUUCCUGGUGUAGCGGUGAAAUGCGCAGAUAUCAGGAAGAACACCCGUGGCGAAGGCGGUUCUCUGGGACGGUACUGACGCUGAGACGCGAAAGCGUGGGGAGCGAACAGG